rnacentral:tRNA from 1 species
GGCCGGCAUGGCGGGCCGCUGCCGUCCGGCCGUCUACAACGCGGCCAACGAGGAGUGCGUGGCGGCGUUCGUCGCCGGCCGGCUACC